GUACCCCAUCAGUCGGAUUCGUUCGCGAGCUGCGAAUCCUCCGCGCUGGAACAGUCGCCGCCGUAACCACCCGGCGCGCUGCUCUCGGGGAUGGCUCAACUAACCGGUCCUUGCGCCUAUAUGAUGGGAGGGUUCCCCGACCGCGCUGACCACACCCCGAACCACCGAGCCAAGUCCCUGCGUGUAAGAGUUCCCGUUAGGAUAGUUUUGAGGUGACCGCCCCGCCAUCCUCGGCCUGGGCGGUGACUCGACGCCGGUGUUGGACUCGGGAGCUUCGACGUGGGGUUGCGCUCACAGCGGUGUCAACCAAGGAGAUCGGGGAUCAUCGGCUCAGCGGCAAUUUCUCGCCGUUGCUUGUUCGUGGCCGCAAACCCGCGCGGUACGUGAGCAGCUUCAACCAACGCCUAGUCACCGGUGAGAUAGCUUCCAACUGGCUCGCUUUACCCUUACGAACGUGUAGGACCUUUUAAUUAGGGUUUAGUGCAGUAGCGGGCCCGAUUGGCCAUCACCGCCGUCACGUGUUCGUCGGCGGUGGAGGGGUGUCGUCGGGGAAGAUGAGUUGCUGGGAGAGGGAAGAAGAAGAACGACCGUGGACCGUCGAUCUGCUUGUGUGCGGUCUGGAUUAGGUGUUGGCGUAUCGAUUGGGGGAAGGGCUGUGGAUCGUCCGAUCGGAAUCGGAUGGAGAUCGGUCCUUUGGGCUUCAUUAAAUCCUGAGCGUCGGAUUCAAAUCUAGGGGCUCUUGUCGUAUACCGAUUCAUCAGCUCACCGUUCUAAUCUUGCGCGUUGCCGCUCGAUCCGACGGCCAGAAAACAUCCAUACCCCUUCGCGGUGCACUUUUGCAUAAGAGCCCCUCUGUUUAUUUAAAAACAACCCACAGUCCAGACCAGUGGAGCGCUGUGUCUUGGAGAUCUUGCGGGUUAGCCCCUGAACUUACCAGUAAAUGAGGCCCGAUCCAGAAUUGUUUUAAAUCAAUUAAAUGAAUUAGAAAUUGGAUUUUUAAUAUGAAAAUAAACCCUAGAACUUGUAUAAAUCAUAGAAAAUCCAUUUUUAGUCCAAAUUGAGCCAUUCAAAUUUCUAAAAUUUUGUAAUUUUAUUCUCUACCAUUCAGUGUCUCUGUUUUGACAUGAAAACAGUUAGAAAAUUUAUUUAUCAUUUAAUCCUAUUUCAAGCACAUUAAAUCUUAGGAAAUUCAUAACUUGAAAUCUAUAACCCCAAAUUUAAUGAUUUCAGUUCCUAUGAUCUCAUUUUAUUGUGUAGAUUUUUACUGUAUAAUUUAUUUACAUGUUUGAUGUGAUGUUAAUUUAUGCUAUACUAUGUAUGUAUUGUGUUGAUGCGAGUAGACGAGCAAGCCACUGUGGAUUCUGAGGUUCAGCAAGUAGAGAUAGCUGAGCAGGAGCUCAUUGAAGGCAAGUUGUGCCCUUGAUCACUUACUUUUUCCCAGCCAUGUUCUUAUUAAUUAUAAUGAUCUGCAUAGGUUAAUUUUGAUGGGACCUAAUAAGUUACCUUAGUUUUGGCUAUCUUUAUACCUUGUUUGCCACGGAAUAUUUUUGGGUAGUACUUGCUAUCGCUUAUUGUGGUUUUGGGUAUGAAGAUACACUAUUCAUUACUACACUUAUAUUAUCUUUUUAUUAUUACUGCUCAUGUUAAGAUCAUUAUGUUAAUGGGAACAUGGAGCGACCACCCGGGAAAACAGUGCUACCACAAGGGUAUAAUGGGACGCCCUUGGCUGAUUAACUAGGAAAGCUAGUGGAGGUCUUCCUUACCCGAAAGGGGCAAGGGCAGUAGGGGAGUGGUCAGUGUAGGGAGGUCCUUGGUUGAUUUUGAUGCGAUGGCGGUCAGGCAAGAACCCUGCACUGGAGCUUCCUAUAAACUGUAGCGGGAUUUCUGAAGCUAGUGGAACUUUGUAAAGGCCUCGUAGUGUUACCCUGCCUCGCCUCCUCGGUAGAGGUGUAUGGGAUUGGCCAUCUCUUGGCAGAUGGGUAACAUGACUUGUGGGUAAAGAUGUGCAACCUCUGCAGAGUGUAAAACUGGUAUACUAGCCGUGCUCACGGUCAUGAGCAGCUCGGACCCUCACAUGAUUAAUUAUGGAACUUAAAUUUAAUUUGACAUUUGUAUCGCAUUUGGGAUUAUUUUAUUAAUACUUUAUUAUUAUUAAGGUUUGGUAUUUACUUACACUUAGUAAUUGCUAAUAAAAUUUUGACAAACUUAUAAAAGCAAUGCUCAGCCUCAGCCUUUAUUUCAUUGAUCAGCCUUACACUACAUGAACUCCCACCUUUGGUGAGUUCAUGCCACAUUAUUCCCCACGACUUGUUGAGCUAUGAACGUAUGUGAGCUCACCCUUGCUGUCUCACACCCCCCACAGGAGAAGAACAGGUGGUCGAAGAGGAGCCGCCUAACACCGAGGCAUUCGAUCUGAUCUAGGUGGCGUUUCUCAGUCGACAUUGGCGCCGACGAUCCUUAGUUCGUUUUACAUUUAUUCCUUUAUUUUGUAAUAAGUCUUCCGCUAUGUAAUAAUUACUCUGAUGUUUUAUGACAUUUAUCUCU
rnacentral:lncRNA from 7 species